rnacentral:rRNA from 1 species
AACGAACGCUGGCGGCAUGCCUAACACAUGCAAGUCGAACGAGACCUUCGGGUCUAGUGGCGCACUGGUGCGUAACGCGUGGGAACCUGCCCUUAGGUUCGGAAUAACUCCCCGAAAGGGGUGCUAAUACCGGAUAAUGUCUUCGGACCAAAGAUUUAUCGCCUUUGGAUGGGCCCGCGUUGGAUUAGCUAGUUGGUAGGGUAAAAGCCUACCAAGGCGACGAUCCAUAGCUGGUCUGAGAGGAUGAUCAGCCACACUGGGACUGAGACACGGCCCAGACUCCUACGGGAGGCAGCAGUGGGGAAUAUUGGACAAUGGGCGAAAGCCUGAUCCAGCAAUGCCGCGUGAGUGAUGAAGGCCUUAGGGUUGUAAAGCUCUUUUACCCGGGAUGAUAAUGACAGUACCGGGAGAAUAAGCUCCGGCUAACUCCGU